GGUGACGAAUCAUUUUGGGACAACAAUAUCACGCCGGGUAUGCGAAUACUUCGUUUACGGAUGGCACUUCACUUACAGAGAACAACAAACGCCACGCGCGAGAGCAACUGUUCACGACACUAUACAAUCCAGCGGACAAGAUUCGAAGGUGGCAAACUACGAUCCGAAGUCACCGACAACACCCGUGACAUCAUCAGCGGGUAUCACAGAGUUUGUGACGUCACUAGUUACAUCAGAAACUAACGGUGUCGUUGAUAACGUUAACCACUAGCGCAGCAAACAAAUCAUCUGAUUUGCACUAUUCCACCAGCGACACUAAAGUCGUGUCAAUGGUAGUCAGAUCGCCUAGUUAGGAUGUAAAACUCCACCCAACGCCCCUAAACCCAUCCCCAUCUACCAGAAUAACAGUUCAUAUUAACUUUUGGUGCAUACUAAUUACCGCAGAACCUAAGGGCAUAAUGCAGUGUAAUUUGUUUGCAUACCGUUUAGUGUUUGUGCAAUGCUUUAUUUGUAUGGUCAAUUUAAUGCUGAAUAUGGUUAAUCAUACCCCUUUUUAUUUAGGCCUAUCAUGUAUUUGUGUGAAAUUGCAUAAGAUCAAAACUGAAAUGAUGGGCAUUCAGUGGGUGUUUUCUCCAGAUAAACCAGUGAUGGAAGAGAAAAUUCUCAUAGAGCUUAUCAGCGUGGGAGUUACAGUGGUAACGGCGUUCGUGGUCACCGUCAUUUUCUGCUGCAGAAUCAAACGGUAUCCCCUCCUUUCGCAUUUCGAAGCUUAUGUUGCCCUUCCGCGCCUUGGUACUGAAUAUAUCUGUUUCAUUUCAGCCAUAAAUUCUUACACUUGAUUAUAAUAAUGUAUCUUAAACACACACAUGCGUUAUAUUUUAAUGUAACUGCGCUUCAAAAUGUCAAGACUCUCGCGUCCAUGAAGAACUGAAUGACUAAUGCAAUCUAGUGACGUAAUAUCAGAAGGAAAAGGCGCACAGCUUGUUGAUUCGGUUUGCCUUUAGUUAAAACAUCAAAAGAAACUGAUUAAUAUUUUGCGGCUAUUAUUAUUAUUAUACGAUAAAUUGGUUAUAAAUAUAUUAAUUCAAUGCUUGAAUGUAUUGAAAUGCAGGCACACAUGAAUUUGGUUUGCGAUUCAGUUGAACGAGAUUGAUCGUGUUAAUGUGCUAACCGCCUUUGACAUUCCUUUGACAUUUAUCAGAAGUGAAACGUCAAGAACGUAGUCCGCUAUGUACAUGAAGUGGCACUGUAAAGACUGGUAGUCAUGUAAAGCACACGUUUACAUGACACCUAGAGUUUCUUUCUAUAAAAUCAUUAAGCUGUAGGAUUAAAUCAGAAUUAUUGCGGGUGUACCUUACAAGAAACCAAACAAAGACCGCAGGCCAACCCUCUCCGACGGCUUAUCCGAAACGGAUGCAAUAACGGCUGGUCCUAGAACGGCACGGUCUCGGUCGUCCAUUAUAGAACGCGAAUACGACACGAUUUCAAAUUCCAAAGCGACGGAUAAAUCCAAACGCCAGGUGGCGGUGGUGAAGGCUUACAGUCACGUGGCAAUAGUCCCAGCCAAUCAGAGACGCGAGAGCAAUUCAAAUAUGGAAAAUGCAUACGACGUGUCCACGUUGAAUAAGCAAACGACCAUGACAAUAUCAUACCAGGGCGGUACUGGCAAUGUUUACGGUCAUCUGGGGGUUACAUAGCUGUACAUAGCAAUUGGCUACAUAAAAGACACGGGAAGUGAUGGAGAUUGCCUUGCUUACUACAACGCGGCAUUCAGUUGGCAAGCCUGUACAAGGCAAGACUCUAUCAAGCCAUUGUGUAGUACCAGCAUAGCUACAGAUACAUCUGCAAUAGCAGUAAUAGGGGACCACCGGGCAGACACAUGGAGCAAAGGGAAUGCGGUUUUUUUGGACGCCGACCGGUUUCCAGCGACCCUCGCAAGUGUGAACAAUACCAAUGUAUAUACUGAUGAAAAAGAGCAAUGCUACUGGACAGGAAUUAUCAGAGCAAACACCUUGCUCAGAAGAGACUCCAUUAGCAAGAACCUUUUAUAUAAAGCGGACAUAUAUGAUCUUACAAAAAAUCAAAAUAACGUUGAACAAUUGCAACAAAUCAACGAAAUUUAAUAUUUGGGUAUACUCUCCUUCUUACAGUCAAACACUUAUGUAUCGGAUACAUGUUAACUGUUCUUAACAGAAGACACGUAUGCUUGUUUAAUCUUCAACAAGCGCCUCAAGUUUAUCACGAACUAUCUCUACUAAUAUCAUUUAAUUAUAUCGGACAACUGAAAGUAAUGCAUAGGGUCUGCCGUAGACUGCAAAUUUUCGAAAAAAAGGACGUACUUCUGAACAAUAUGCUUACUUCAAAUUUACAAAGAAGAUUAAACAAUUCAGCUUCUCCACCCCUGUCUAUAUAGGCUUAUGACAUAACCUACCAUAGUGAUGUAUACGGAUUCUUGGAUGGAUACACCGGGAAAUUAAAUUUCACACGUGAUGGAAUCAAACAAGCUCUAUGUGCAUCAGAAGGUCCAACAGGUGAUACAACAUCAACUGAACGUCAUACGACUAUUAGAGGUGUCACCAAAUCUACUGAAGGUCAAACAACCAUGAGAGACGUCACAAAAUCAACAGAAGGUCAAGUUAUUAUAGAUGAUACAAAAGGGACAACAGUCCGAUUUAGAGCCGAAGAAGAUGCGAAGACAUCGUCUAUUGUUACAUGGGUUUCAACAACACUUGGCUCAUGUUUGGUUAUACUGGUUGUUAUCAUCGCUUGUUUGUGCUUCAAGAGGAAACAAGGGAACCUUACUCGAACUACCUUUCAACAAAGGUCAUGACAACGUUCAUUAUGACGUCAUUCCCGACGAUAUAAGAGAGCGUGAGGCAACAUCGUACACCUCACUCCAGAUGACAGCAAAUCAUAUGUACACUACAUUGACCGUUAGGCUAGAGAAUAAUGAUAACGCAGAUGUCGAAGUUCCGGACAGCGACGGUCAAGGGCAGACACAUACCGAUUCCGAAGCCAAAGUUUAUUAUUUUGUUGAUAAUUAAGGUUGGAACGAACUACGCUUGAAAGAUCAAACUUUCUAGGAUUGAAUCCAUUGCAGCUCACUCCCUACGACAGCGAACCAUCCUCUUAAAAUUAAAAAAAGAGGAACCGGAAAUUGAUCACAUAACGGAAAUACGCCACUAAGGUUGGAGACUACUUGAGACUUUGACAGUUGGCGGGAAACCCUUAUCAAUUGGAGAGAAGCCGGUAAAAAGAUGGCCGUAAAACAGUGACCGUUGAUUCGCGUCGAGUUCUUUCUUACGUACUGUAUGGCCAAUUUUUUUAUUGUUUAAAUUAAAAAUGUCUUGGAAUGCUCUUCAAGAAAAGGUAUGUAUGGUUAAUUGGUUAUGAGGGUCUCUACGCGCAAAAGUUUGACUGUUUUAAGUUAAUCCUUGUACAUCGAAUUUGUGAAGGAUUUUUUAAAAUUAAAUUGUGACCUUAGAGUACAUGUCCGAAAUAACAACACUUUAAAAAUAAUGCUUUUGCACACUACAUAUUGCAGUUAUGAUUAAAGUUUAUUUUUGUAUCAUGUAACGUUAUGUUUCUGAUGGUUUGUUAACAUAAUGUAAGUCUGAUGAGAAAAAAUACUCUUAAACUCUAUUUUGGUAGAUAGCGACCUUCUUUUAAAGUUUGUUAAAUGUUAAAUUUCGCCUUAAAUAUAGUUUUGAUAAAUGCUCAUAAUUAUAAAAUCUUAUUUUAAGAUAAUUGUUAACGAUAUGAACACUCUACGAUGAAUAUGUUUUAGUUAUUUAGGAUUCCAGAAAAGCACCGUUUUACAUACUUUUUCCAUCAUUACCCUAAAAUAUCGGUUUUGCACCACGAGUUUCUUUGGCACUUUAUUUCAUUUAUAUGUGUUAAAUGGGGAACAGGUAUGCCCAAACAGGUUUGCGUGCUCAUUAAUUCACGGAAACAAUAAUGAAAACUGCACUUCUUUAUUUUCAACGGAAAAACAGAGCAGAACGUUAUUUUAUCAUACUUAAUUAUAAUUGAUAAAGUUGUUUAACGAACAUAUUUAGCACCUUUUUAUGGAGCCGGUAGCGGAUCCCGUUCUGCCAGGUAUUCUUGCCUGUCAGAUUUUACUCAGAGUGUCACGAGAGAAAGCUGUGAACAAAUCAUUUAAAUAUUCCACUCAAACCAUCUAACGGCGGUAGACAUACGUUAAUUGGUUAACAAUGUUACGUCUAAGUUGGGUAUAAAGAAAUUUAUUUUCGUGGUAAAGUCAUUCAACUGUUAUAUAUACAAAGAUUAACAUCAAAAUAAAACAGUGUUUCAAAAAGAUUUUUUUUUCUGCUUGAUUCUAGGUAAGAACUUUAGUUUAUUUUUCAAGUUUUUACUUAUUUCUUUUAAAUUUAAAAUAUUUUCGCAAAAUAAUUAAGAAACUUGUCUUAUUAUAUAUAUCUACAAGCACAUUAUUAUAUUCGUUCUUUUUAACCGUAGACGUUACGUAUUAAAUUUGACCUCGUUCUGGAAAAACUGGGCUUAACGCAUUUGCUUUUAGUGUCGCCACAGAUUAACCUGUGCAGUCACAUACGUUAAACCCCGUUUUCCCAGAGCGAGCCUAUUAAUAUAUGUAUUAUAUAUACACUGUACAAUACAGCGCAUUGCCGAAAACUUGCAAUAGCUAAUAGAAUGAUGGUGUUUUACUCAACAUCUAGAUCUAUUGCAUUUAAUAUGUUAUUCGAACCUUUUAUCGCAUUAAUAUAGUACGUUUAUUUGUUUCACUCAAGUAUACAUAUUACACAUUUUAUAUAAUACUUAUAACAUCAUCAUAAUUAAAAAUGUUAAUAAUAUUGUAUAUGUAUACAUGCUAGAAUAACACUUCAACCCUUUUCCUUUAUGACCGAUUGCAUCAACAGCCUAGGGCGUCUUGAGUCAGUGUCCUGGGUAGAACCAUGACUUAGUGUCUUAAGACUGGACUCUUUGAAAUCUCACUAGGACCAAGCCCGGGCCCCCCUCAGAUCGCUAGACGGAUGCCAUUUUGUCACGGCGAAUGCAGAUUUAUGUUAUAUAUUAUAUUUUAUUAACUAUGCAUCACAUUCUAUUUUAUAAAGCAGAUAAUUUUAUUAUAUAUAAUUUAUUAUAUAUAAAAUAAUAUAUAUUAUAAAUAAUCUAUUAUAUAUACGAGAAAAUAGCAUGUUGAUUGAAUAUUUUACAGACAAAACCAGGAUUGAAAACAUCAUAAUUAUAUCAACGGUCACAAUCAUGGGCGACGCAGUUGCUACCGCAGUUGUAUUCGCAGUAUAUAUCUGCUGUAAAAUGAAAAGAAAAGCGAACAAGGACCAUCGACCAAGCAUAUCCGACUGCAUUUCUGAAUUAACUGAUCCCCUCGUAAAUUCCAAAGAUUCCCUGCACUACACAAUCAGUGACGUCAGCUACCAAAUAAGUGACGUCAGCGAAUAUGCCACGCCAUCAGACGUUCCGGAUGACUGGCCGAGCAUUGCCCGUUCCCGUCCGUCUGAUAUCAAGGGCGAAUACGACACUAUUUCCAAUUUCAAAGCGACAAAGAAAUCUAAUAGCCGAGUGGCGUUGGUGCACGCUUACAGCCACGCGUCAAUAGUCCCAGCCAAUGAGGUACGCGAAAAUGAUUCAAAGAUUGUAAACGAAUAUAAAGUGUCAACCUUGAAUAGGCAACCUUCUGUGACCAUUUUAGACCAAAACGAUUACAGUCGCGUGGCAAUAGUUCCAACCAAUCAGCAACCUAAGAGAAAUUUAAAUAUUGGAAACACAUAUGACGUGUCGACCUUGAAUAACUUAUCAUCUGUGGCCAUUUUAGACCAAAACGCUUACAGUCACGUGGUAAUAGUACCAACUAUUCAGAAACUUGAGAGAGAUUCAAACAUGGAAAACUCACAUUACCUAUCGACCUUGAAAAGGCAACCACACUCGUCCAUUUUAGACCAAAAUGCUUUUAGUCAAGUGGCAAUAGUUUCAGCCAAACAGUCAAGCGAGAGUGAUAAACACAUGGCCUGUCGACCUUUAAUAAACAAACUACCGUGACAAUAUCACACCAGGAUGCCAGCGGAAAUGAAUACGGUCGUCUUUGGGAAUAAUAAGCAUAACAUUUGCUGAAGAAAUAAGUGAUAUUUAUUUUAUUUAUAUUUUGUUGUCUUUUAAAUUCCUUUUUCAUCUGUGCUAAUGACAUUAUUAUUAAAUAGGGUGAAAUUAA